GCGCAGCCUGAUCUAGCCAUGCCGCGUGAGUGACGAAGGCCUUAGGGUCGUAAAGCUCYUWCUCCAGAGAUGAUAAUGACAGUAUCUGGUAAAGAAACCCCGUCUAACUCCGUGCCAGCAGCCGCGGUAAUACGACGK
rnacentral:rRNA from 1 species